CAGAGAGAGUAGCGCAGCACCCCACCCCCACCACCAACUGGCAAUGGCAUAGAGUCAGUGACCUCACUUGCCUUUUCCUUUUUCGCUAUACUUUUUUCCUUGUCUCUUUUCACCUUUCCUAUCUUCCUUUCUCAAAUCUCAUCAGCUACUUUUCUUUAUUUCUCUCUCGUAGUAUCUAAAAAACCCCCUACUUUUUGCUUAAAAACCCAGAUAUGAACUAGGGUUUGUUGCCAAUGCAAAGAGCUUGAUUCUUCACAUUUCCCUUGAGAAUGCAAGUAAUGGGCGAAAUGGGGAAGAAUGUGUUGGUUUUGUGUUUUAUUUUGCUAUUGUUUUUUGGAGGUGUCACUUCAGCUCCUACUACUACUUCACCAGCAAAGAUUGUUAGUGGGGUUUUCUCAAAUGUCGUGCCUGCUUUCAUGAAGUGGCUAUGGUCUAUGAAAUCCACCACCAAAACAGUGAUCUCUGGUCGUCCAAUGAUGAAGUUUGAGAGCGGGUAUACCGUGGAGACAGUGUUUGAUGGAAGCAAGCUCGGGAUUGAGCCUUACUCCGUGCAGGUGUUGCCCAGUGGAGAGCUUCUGAUUCUGGACUCUGUUAACAGUAACAUUUACAGGAUGUCUUCUUCCCUGUCUCUCUACAGCAGACCUAAGCUGGUAGCUGGAUCCCAUGAAGGAUACUCUGGACAUGUGGAUGGAAAGUUGAGAGAGGCAAAGAUGAACCACCCAAAAGGGCUUACUGUAGAUGACAGAGGAAACAUUUAUAUUGCAGACACCAUGAAUAUGGCAAUCAGGAAGAUAAGUGAUGCAGGGGUUACAACAAUUGCUGGAGGGAAAUGGGGCCGAGGGAGCCAUGUUGAUGGGGCAAGUGAAGAUGCGAAGUUUUCUAAUGAUUUUGACGUGCUUUACAUUGGAAGCAGUUGCUCCCUACUUGUUAUAGACAGAGGAAACCAAGCCAUCAGAGAGAUCCAGCUGCAUUUUGAUGACUGUGCUUAUCAAUAUGGAAGUGGUUUUCCGCUUGGAAUUGCAGUGCUGCUAGCAGCUGGCUUCUUCGGUUACAUGCUAGCAUUGCUGCAACGCAGGGUGGGAAUGAUUGUUUCUCCUCAGAAUGUUGCAAUGGAAACUAGCACUACAGGAAAUCCUUAUCAGAAGCCUAUCAAAUCAUUCAGGCCACCUUUAAUCCCAACAGAAGAUGAACAGGAGAAGCAUGAGGAAGGCUUAUUCGGAUCCCUUGGCAAGCUUUUCAUCAACACUUGGGCAUCUAUUGCAGAAAUUUUGGGAGGCAUAGUUCCCAGUUUCAGAAAGAAGCCACCAAGCUAUCAGUAUCAAAACUACCAGCAGCAAUCAACUUCUUGGCCUGUGCAAGACAGCUUUGUGAUACCAGAUGAAGACGAGCCGCCUUCGACUGAAACCAGAACCCCAACGCCUAGGAAAACCUAUCCAUUCAUGUCAAAGGAUACAGAAAAGAUGCAUCAAUGGCGGCAAAGUCGUUCUAUCUAUAGUGGGUGGGAUGGAGAUUUUCAGCAGCAGCAGCAGCAGAAACAGCAGUAUCAUCAUCGGUAUCAAUCCUCUACCCCACAUACUUACUAUGAGCAAAGCUACGAGAAAACCAAUGAGAUUGUGUUUGGGGCAGUUCAAGAGCAGGAUGUGAAGCAUGGAACUACGGUGAUAUUGCCUGUAAAUUAUGGAGAUCCGAUACACAACCGCCACAACAUCCGCUCUCGAACCAAUUCUCUGCAUUAAACAAAUGGGUAUUGAAUAUGUGACAAUAUGCAGAGAUUUUGGAGGCUUCGGGAUAUACUCGAUGUCAGGAUUUAUUCUUAGAGAAUGGAGGUUUUUUGGGAGCCGCUUACUGCUUUUUAGGGUUCACUCGGUCUGGUAAAAAUAAUAUAGUUGCAUUACAUGGUGCUUUGAUAAAAAUUGGUCUUAAGAAGUUAUGAAGAUGCCUUGUUCUCUGAUUCUAUGUGUAUCGAAUGCGUGGUUGACAAUGAUUUGGUGAAGGCCCUUUGGACAGAAAUUAAUGAGCCAACCUGUUGUUCCAUAACAAGAAGCCAAUUAGAGUCCAAAUUCCCCAACUUCAUGUUCAUGGGCAAGCAUCACCUGCUCUCUUGCUAAAGUAGACGAAGAAGAAGAAACAAGGAUUUUGAUAUUUCUUAACUAUAUUCUUCGAUAAUUCUCCAACUUCAUGUUCAUGGCAAGCAUCGUGAAGAUAUUGAUAAUCUGCUCUCAAACUUUUAUGCUUC